UGUUCUACGAAAAAUCCAUGUAGAAUAUUAUCCCUGCCCAGUGUAAUUAAACGGCCGCGGUAUCCUAACCGUGCAAAGGUAGCAUAAUAAUUUGCCCAUUAAUUGUGGGAUAGAAUGAAGGGGAAAACGAAAUAUUAACUUUAUUCAUAUUACACCUUAAACUUAUUUUUAAGUGAAAAAGCUUAAAUAUAAAUACUAGACAAGAAGACCCUAUAGAGCUUAAAUUUACUUGACCUAAGAUCAAUAAAAUUUGGGUUGGGGCGACCAAGGAAAAAUCAUCCUAAAAUUACAGAUUUACUAAUCACACCACUGAUCAAUCAUUUAUUAAGAACUAAGCUACCUUAGGGAUAACAGGCUAAUUUUAUUAGAAAGUUCAUAUUAACAAUAAAGUUUGGCACCUCGAUGUUGGCUUGGGACAACUAUAUGGCGCAAAAGUCAUAAAAGUGGGUUUGUUCAACCCCUAAUUUCCC
rnacentral:rRNA from 1 species